rnacentral:rRNA from 1 species
ACGGGUGAGUAAUAUAUCGGAACGUGCCCAAUCGUGGGGGAUAACGCAGCGAAAGCUGUGCUAAUACCGCAUAAGAUCUACGGAUGAAAGCGGGGGAUCGCAAGACCUCGCGCGAGUGGAGCGGCCGAUAUCAGAUUAGGUAGUUGGUGAGGUAAAGGCUCACCAAGCCGAUGAUCUGUAGCUGGUCUGAGAGGACGACCAGCCACACUGGAACUGAGACACGGUCCAGACUCCUACGGGAGGCAGCAGUGGGGAAUUUUGGACAAUGGGCGCAAGCCUGAUCCAGCAAUGCCGCGUGCAGGAUGAAGGCCUUCGGGUUGUAAACUGCUUUUGUACGGAACGAAAAAGUUCUCUCUAAUACAGGGAGCCCAUGACGGUACCGUAAGAAUAAGCACCGGCUAACUACGUGCCAGCAGCCGCGGUAAUACGUAGGGUGCAAGCGUUAAUCGGAAUUACUGGGCGUAAAGCGUGCGCAGGCGGUUAUGUAAGUCAGAUGUGAAAUCCCCGGGCUCAACCUGGGACCUGCAUUUGAGACUGCAUAGCUGGAGUGCGGCAGAGGGGGAUGGAAUUCCGCGUGUAGCAGUG